rnacentral:rRNA from 1 species
AGUGAACGCUGGCGAUAGGCCUAACACAUGCAAGUCGAACGGCAGCACAGUAAGAGCUUGCUCUUACGGGUGGCGAGUGGCGGACGGGUGAGGAAUACAUCGGAACCUACUUUUUCGUGGGGGAUAACGUAGGGAAACUUACGCUAAUACCGCAUACGACCUACGGGUGAAAGCAGGGGAUCUUCGGACCUUGCGCGAUUGAAUGAGCCGAUGUCGGAUUAGCUAGUUGGCGGGGUAAAGGCCCACCAAGGCGACGAUCCGUAGCUGGUCUGAGAGGAUGAUCAGCCACACUGGAACUUGGACACGGUCCAGACUCCUACGGGAGGCAGCAGUGGGGAAUAUUGGACAAUGGGCGCAAGCCUGAUCCAGCCAUACCGCGUGGGUGAAGAAGGCCUUCGGGUUGUAAAGCCCUUUUGUUGGGAAAGAAAAGCAGCAGGUUAAUACCCCGCUGUUCUGACGGUGCCCAAAGAAUAAGCACCGGCUAACUUCGUG